CCUACGGGUGGCAGCAGUGAGGAAUAUUGGUCAAUGGCCGUAAGGCUGAACCAGCCAAGUCGCGUGAAGGAAGAAGGAUCUACGGUUUGUAAACUUCUUUUAUAGGGGAAUAAAGGUAUCCACGUGUGGAGAUUUGCAUGUACCCUAUGAAUAAGCAUCGGCUAACUCCGUGCCAGCAGCCGCGGUAAUACGGAGGAUGCGAGCGUUAUCCGGAUUUAUUGGGUUUAAAGGGUGCGUAGGUUGUUUUUUAAGUCAGCUGUGAAAGUUUGUGGCUCAACCAUGAAAUUGCCGUUGAAACUGGCAGACUUGAGUGUGUUUGAGGUAGGCGGAAUGCGUGGUGUAGCGGUGAAAUGCAUAGAUAUGACGCAGAACUCCGAUUGCGAAGGCAGCUUACUAAGCCAUAACUGACGCUGAAGCACGAAAGCGUGGGGAUCAAACAGGAUUAGAUACCCGAGUAGUC
rnacentral:rRNA from 1 species